rnacentral:rRNA from 2 species
UUAAGCGACUAAGCGUACACGGUGGAUGCCCUGGCAGUCAGAGGCGAUGAAGGACGUGCUAAUCUGCGAAAAGCGUCGGUAAGGUGAUAUGAACCGUUAUAGCCGGCGAUGUCCGAAUGGGGAAACCCAGUGCAAUUCGUUGCACUAUCGUUAACUGAAUACAUAGGUUAACGAGGCGAACCGGGGGAACUGAAACAUCUAAGUACCCCGAGGAAAAGAAAUCAACCGAGAUUCCCCCAGUAGCGGCGAGCGAACGGGGAGCAGCCCGGAGUCUGAAUCAGCUUGUGUGUUAGUGGAAGCGUCUGGAAAGUCGCAGGGUACAGGGUGAUACUCCCGUACACUAAAAUGCACAGGUUGUGAACUCGAAGAGUAGGGCGGGACACGUGGUAUCCUGUCUGAAUAUGGGGGGACCAUCCUCCAAGGCUAAAUACUCCUGACUGACCGAUAGUGAACCAGUACCGUGAGGGAAAGGCGAAAAGAACCCCGGCGAGGGGAGUGAAAAAGAACCUGAAACCGUGUACGUACAAGCAGUAGGAGCCCACUUGUUGGGUGACUGCGUACCUUUUGUAUAAUGGGUCAGCGACUUAUAUUCUGUAGCAAGGUUAACCGUAUAGGGGAGCCGCAGGGAAACCGAGUCUUAACUGGGCGUUAAGUUGCAGGGUAUAGACCCGAAACCCGGUGAUCUAGCCAUGGGCAGGUUGAAGGUUGGGUAACACUAACUGGAGGACCGAACCGACUAAUGUUGAAAAAUUAGCGGAUGACUUGUGGCUGGGGGUGAAAGGCCAAUCAAACCGGGAGAUAGCUGGUUCUCCCCGAAAGCUAUUUAGGUAGCGCCUCGUGAACUCAUCUUCGGGGGUAGAGCACUGUUUCGGCUAGGGGGUCAUCCCGACUUACCAACCCGAUGCAAACUACGAAUACCGAAGAAUGUUAUCACGGGAGACACACGGCGGGUGCUAACGUCCGUCGUGAAGAGGGAAACAACCCAGACCGCCAGCUAAGGUCCCAAAGUCAUGGUUAAGUGGGAAACGAUGUGGGAAGGCCCAGACAGCCAGGAUGUUGGCUUAGAAGCAGCCAUCAUUUAAAGAAAGCGUAAUAGCUCACUGGUCGAGUCGGCCUGCGCGGAAGAUGUAACGGGGCUAAACCAUGCACCGAAGCUGCGGCAGCGACACUAUGUGUUGUUGGGUAGGGGAGCGUUCUGUAAGCCGUUGAAGGUGGCCUGUGAGGGUUGCUGGAGGUAUCAGAAGUGCGAAUGCUGACAUAAGUAACGAUAAUGCGGGUGAAAAACCCGCACGCCGGAAGACCAAGGGUUCCUGUCCAACGUUAAUCGGGGCAGGGUGAGUCGACCCCUAAGGCGAGGCCGAAAGGCGUAGUCGAUGGGAAACAGGUUAAUAUUCCUGUACUCGGUGUUACUGCGAAGGGGGGACGGAGAAGGCUAUGUUGGCCGGGCGACGGUUGUCCCGGUUUAAGCAUGUAGGCGGAUGUUCCAGGUAAAUCCGGAACGUUAUUAACGCUGAGGUGUGAUGACGAGGCACUACGGUGCUGAAGUGACAAAUGCCCUGCUUCCAGGAAAAGCCUCUAAGCAUCAGGUAACAUCAAAUCGUACCCCAAACCGACACAGGUGGUCAGGUAGAGAAUACCAAGGCGCUUGAGAGAACUCGGGUGAAGGAACUAGGCAAAAUGGUGCCGUAACUUCGGGAGAAGGCACGCUGAUGGUAGGUGAAGUGACUUGCUCAUGGAGCUGAAAUCAGUCGAAGAUACCAGCUGGCUGCAACUGUUUAUUAAAAACACAGCACUGUGCAAACACGAAAGUGGACGUAUACGGUGUGACGCCUGCCCGGUGCCGGAAGGUUAAUUGAUGGGGUUAUCCGUAAGGAGAAGCUCUUGAUCGAAGCCCCGGUAAACGGCGGCCGUAACUAUAACGGUCCUAAGGUAGCGAAAUUCCUUGUCGGGUAAGUUCCGACCUGCACGAAUGGCGUAAUGAUGGCCAGGCUGUCUCCACCCGAGACUCAGUGAAAUUGAACUCGCUGUGAAGAUGCAGUGUACCCGCGGCAAGACGGAAAGACCCCGUGAACCUUUACUAUAGCUUGACACUGAACACUGGUCCUUGAUGUGUAGGAUAGGUGGGAGGCUUUGAAGUGUGGACGCCAGUCUGCAUGGAGCCAUCCUUGAAAUACCACCCUUUAAUGGCUGGUGUUCUAACGUGGGCCCCUAAUCGGGGUUGCGGACAGUGUCUGGUGGGUAGUUUGACUGGGGCGGUCUCCUCCUAAAGAGUAACGGAGGAGCACGAAGGUCAGCUAAUCCUGGUCGGACAUCAGGAGGUUAGUGCAAUGGCAUAAGCUGGCUUGACUGCGAGCGUGACGGCGCGAGCAGGUGCGAAAGCAGGUCAUAGUGAUCCGGUGGUUCUGAAUGGAAGGGCCAUCGCUCAACGGAUAAAAGGUACUCCGGGGAUAACAGGCUGAUACCGCCCAAGAGUUCAUAUCGACGGCGGUGUUUGGCACCUCGAUGUCGGCUCAUCACAUCCUGGGGCUGAAGUAGGUCCCAAGGGUAUGGCUGUUCGCCAUUUAAAGUGGUACGCGAGCUGGGUUUAGAACGUCGUGAGACAGUUCGGUCCCUAUCUGCCGUGGGCGCUGGAGAAUUGAGGGGGGCUGCUCCUAGUACGAGAGGACCGGAGUGGACGCAUCACUGGUGUUCGGGUUGUCAUGCCAAUGGCAUUGCCCGGUAGCUAAAUGCGGAAGAGAUAAGUGCUGAAAGCAUCUAAGCACGAAACUUGCCCCGAGAUGAGUUCUCCCUGACUCCUUGAGAGUCCUGAAGGAACGUUGAAGACGACGACGUUGAUAGGCCGGGUGUGUAAGCGCAGCGAUGCGUUGAGCUAACCGGUACUAAUGAACCGUGAGGCUUAACCUU